GAAGGUCAGGGAGAUGUUUGCUAGUGCUAACUGCCUUCACUUUGCAGUAGUUGUGGAAACAACAGACAUACUUUUAAUAACAGACACACUGUGACCUACUCUGUACAUUUACUUCCAGACUGACAACUUAUUACUCGCUUUCCGCAUCACUUUCUGCCGUUCUCUCACUCGCUCAGCCAUUGACUCGCUACGCAAAGAUGUUUUACAAGCACGAGAUACAACGACAGUGAACACACCAGUGCAGAUGUAAUUCAUUAGCUACCCGGUUGGUUUUGUUCUGAUAGGCUACGUUGUUAACAAGACUCCACAUGCGGUGCACGUGCUGCUAUAAUGAUCACAGAUAGUAUUUAAAAGGUGGGUUAAAAUAACAAAAAAAACUUAAGGAUAAUAACAUAAAUCUGCAUAAUUUUCCUUUUCAGAUGUAUAUAGUUGCAGAAUUCACAGAGUCCAACACUGUAAAUAUUAUAUCAGACUCGUGGUUUGAAGAUGGUGCGACUUUGUGGCCAAGCUAUAAAAGCGAUGAACGCAUCAACAGAGCUGUUCGAAAACAUGAGGUGCCAGGAUCAGACUGGAAAAUGUAUGACGUUCGAGUCCUCGCAAGAGCUGGCUCAUCUUUGGUGAUACCGACUCUGAAAGUGAGCCAGAGGAGAGGAACAAUACAAGACCCACUUAUCUCUCCCUCACUCCAGCACCACCUAUUGCUCCACCGACUCCUAACUUCUCCGCUAGACCUCUGCCAGAUCCGAAUCAUGCUGAACUUCUUCAUUCCACUGCGGCUGCACCACUUGUUCCCGUCCUUCCACCUUGCAUGCCUUCAAGUCCUCCAUGCCAGAUUUCUGCUGGACCUCUGCCUGAUCUGAGGCAAUGUGAUCGUGGUAGUUACACAGCUCCAGUGGCACUUGUUCCUACCCCUACGUCUCGCAUGCCCUCAAGUCCUAGGCGCCGGAUCACUGCCACUCCUCUCACAAAUGACUAUCAAGGCCAUUGUUUUGUCCCUACUUUUAAACUGGGGAGGACUGGCACUGGACCUGUUCCUUGCUCUGGUAAAAUAUAUAUAUUUUUUAACUCUGUGACCGUAUACAUGGUUUAAAUAAGAGCUAUUUAAAAAAAUACUUAUAGAAGGAUACUGUGUGUGUGUGUGUAUUAGAGCCGACCGAUUUGAGCUAAUUUCAUUGGCAUCGGCCGUUUAUAACGGCAGAUAUGACUAUUAAAAGAGAAACAGACUCAGAUCAUUCACUCAUGUCAUGGGUGUUGCAUAGUUUGCCCACCAGAGGCAAACAAGUUUAAUGUUACGGUAGCUGGGUGUUUAAAGCUAGCUGUUGACAGACGUAAAUUAACUGUAGAUUUAAUCUGAAACAGUGUGGUAGUUCUAGUGAAUGGUCCCCAUUUGUCCCUAGUUGUCCCUAUCACUUCUAAAUAUUCUCUACAAUCAGGUAACGUUACAGCAGGUAGCUGCCCGUUGCUAAAUGAGCCACAAAGCUAAUGCCGUGUUUAUCAGUGGAGGAGUGCUAACGGUAGUGAGCCAUUAAACUGAUUGUUUCUGAUGUAUUCUAAAUAUUUCUGCCAGCCACCUGUCUGCAGUUAUUGUCUGCGUGUCUGAAAUGAUUAAACCAGAGCGGACAUGUAAAUAAACGUGAGCUGAACAAGACUCUAACACGGCUUCCUGUAGCUCCUCUUUGUGUGACGUUGUUAGAUGUGAAACGCUGUAGUCAGAGCCGUACCGGCUGUAAGUGCUGUUACAUGAAAAAACAUAUUUUUCAUGUAACAGCACUUUUAAUAUAAUUGUUUCUUAACUCCUUUUGUAGCAGCUGAACUGCACAUUCUAACUUUGCUGGAACAUAUCAAGGAGCAGCAAAUGCAGCUGGCUGCUGCUGUAAAUGACAUUGCUGCAAGAAUGGGGACGGAAACUCCUAUGGCUGAGAUGCCUCAAAAUGUCAGUGUUCUGCUGGCCACCAUGUCUGAAGUGGAGGAGUUGGCUUAAAGAUGCAAGAAACUCGCAUGCUAAGCAAAACAUGAUUCAUUGGAAAGGAGUAAAUGGGAAAAGAGGUUUUAAAGAAAUGCUGACAAACACCAAGGCUGUACGGAAGAACCAAGCUGCUAGCAGCGCAUCGGACAACGAGAUUAACCAGCACGCCAUCCGCUGGUUCAACCUGGCCUCUGACCGUGGAGGUGGCCGCAAAGAACGUGCCAUGGCCAGAGAGGCCAUUCAUUAACCGUGGUAAGAGACUUGCUUGCUGGCGGGGCUGUGGUCUCUUACCACGGUUAAUGAAUGGCGGGGCUGUGGUCCGCUGGCGGGGCUGUGGUCCGCUGGCGGGGCUGUGGUCCGCUGGCGGGGCUGUGGUCCGCUGGCGGGGCUGUGGUCCGCUGGCGGGGCUGUGGUCCGCUGGCAGAACACCGGGUGCUUUCUGAUCAGGUGCCGUCGGGAUGUUGCCGAGGCGACAUAAAUUUUGUUUUACGGUGGACGGACUGCAACAUUACGGAGUUGUUUUCUUUUAGCUUGAAAUAAUCCCAUACUUUAGACACUUUCUUCUUCGCCCCUCCCUAUUUUCUCUCUCUUCCUCCACUUUGCAAACAGCGCCAUCAUAAUUACGUUGUGUUCACAGCAUAAGCGCGAUGUGCGACAGUAAUAAAUGUCCAUGCAAAACAGUGUUCUAUAUAGUUAUAUGGAUUAAACGAAGCUUUGCAUGGAUGCAAUUUAGUAUUCAGUUCAAUACUAAAUUGAAUUGUUCGAGCCCUUGUUAAGUGAAUGCCAAAUUAAAUCAGAGCACAUUUGUGACUGGGUGCUGACAAGCAAUGUAGCAUUUAAAAACAGCAUCACUGAUCUUUGUUAACUGAACAUUCUUUUAUGCAGAAAUGAACGCAUCGGCCAUCCCCCACUCUUCCACCACUGAUGAUUUGUUAUGUGAGAGUUGUGGCAUUCCCACUUCACUUGCCUCAUCAAUGUUUCCUGUAAAGCCACCAAAGAACGCAUAUGAACAUUUUGCAGUUUUUUCUGGGUUUCAUAUGACUAAAGUUGGAUAUUGUAUUUUGGCUAUAAAACCUUAGUUAUUUAUACCAUGGUCAUGGAAAAUGGUUAAAAUCUAAAUGGCUGGCAGGUAUUAUCUAUUAAGACAAACUUAUCGCUAAUUAAAACGUUACAUCUUGUGUUUAGGCUGUAGAAUCUCGUUUCUCUGCUGGCUUUAGCUUUUUUUUCUGCUUUAAUUAAAAAAAAUAACCACAAAAAAAACACCUGUGUCAUAGGUAUGUGGUAGUAAAGAAGUUUCUUAUUCCUACAGUUGUCCUGUAGUUGUUCCUACAAGAAGUUUCUUAUUCCUACAGUUGUUAAAGACAGAAAUGAGCUGUAAAAAUGUGUUUCUGUCCUGUCUUUUUCUCAGACAUUUUAAAUAAAAUGUAA